rnacentral:rRNA from 1 species
AUACGGAGGAUCCGAGCGUUAUCCGGAUUUAUUGGGUUUAAAGGGUGCGCAGGCGGCCAUUUAAGUCAGCGGUUAAAUCGUGGGGCUCAACCCCAUUCUGCCGUUGAUACUGGGUGGCUUGAUUGCGGUCGAGGUUGGCGGAAUUCGUUGUGUAGCGGCGAAAUGCAUAGAUAUGACGAAGAACACCGAUUGCGUAGGCAGCUGACCAGACCGCAAAUGACGCUCAUGCACGAAAGUGCGGGGAUCGAACAGGAUUAGAUGCCCUGGUAGUCCGCACAGUAAACGAUGAAUACUUGUUUUCGGCGAUAUAAUGUCGGAGGCAAAGCGAAAGCGAUAAGUAUUCCACCUGGGGAGUACGCCGGCAACGGUGAAACUCAAAGGAAUUGGCGGGG